CAGAAAAAGUCAUUCUUUGACACUUUUCCUUGUUUUUUUUUUUCUGUUUUGUACCAAAACAGAUAGUCUCCUUUUAGGCUCCACAUCUUUGUGCUCAGAGGGAUGCAGAUACCUGUGGGAGAAAAGGGCUAAUGGUGUUUUAUUCAUUUGCAGGGAAAAGAAUACACAGAGGCUUCUAGGCUACUUAAAGCCAUGGAUGUCUGGUGCCAGUGUGGUAGCUGUACCACAGGGAGGGAAGUGUCAUGGAGGAUGUAGCCAGCAAUUGGAAACAGCCUAAAUGCCCAUCACCUGAGCAGUGGAUAAUGAAACUGUGAUGCAUCUACACAAUGGACUAUUACUGAGCUAUUCCAAGGCACGAAACUAUGUAAUCUGCAUGAAGAUGGUUGGGCACAUGAAAAGUAUGUUAAAAAUGGAAACAUCUUUCCCUUCAUUUGGAAGAGUAAAAGCUCGUACUUGGCUGGAAAAUGACAUCUAAUGGAGGAGGAUGAUAAUUGGUGCUGAGUAGAAAGCUCCAAGGUCAGGCAUGACUCUUCCCUGCUCUGUGACACUUCGUCCUUGGCGAAGGACAGGAGGUGUUCAACAUCUCUUCAUAAAGGUCAGCUUUCUCUUUAGUCCCUACAACUCCCCUCCCCCUAAGCAGCAGCCCGCUGGUAGUAUAUUCAGCAAGCCUGAUUUCAUCAGAUAUAAAUAUUCCGAAAUUCUCCUAUUUCAAAUAAUUAUGAAUCUCCGUUGAGGUAAAUGUUGUUUGGGGGUUUCUACCCCACCUUAGGUCAUUUAGUUUCCCAGUAAAAAGACACAAAAUCUUUAUAUUUAUAAUAAGCCUUAAAGCAUUAGAGCUGGGUGGAUAUCAACCCCCAUGCCAUUUUAUCUUCUUCCCUGUCAAUAACCCCAAGAUAUCGCUUGCCAUGUGCUGCUUGGGCCACUCCUAUUCCAACAGGGUGAUCGUUAUAGCUAUGUGCUCAUGAUCUGCCUUCUUCUUCCUCUCUCUUCCCUCUCUUCGUGGUCUCUGCCUCAGACCCAAAGCCAGAGAACUAAAGCCCCAGAUGCCAGGAUGCUAAAGCCUCAACUAUCUCUUUUCUUCUCAGCUACAGGCUGUAGGCAUCUUUAUUUAACCAAUAGUUUUUAAAUUAAGAGGCAAGGGCUGCACAAGAAAGACUCAUAAAAAUGAGAAUUCCCUGGUCUUGAGGCAACUAGACCUUGGAAUACAGAAUUUAGCAUUACACUACCUAGCAACAGGCCAAGCCUCAACAGAUGUCAGGGGGAAGAGAGCUGGAGUCCUGCUCCUCUAAGCUUUCCCUCUGUGAACAUCAGAGAUGAGCUAUAAGAGUUCUAAGCCAUGAAACACCAGGUAAAGCUAACAAGACAGUGUUGAGUAAGGGUUCUAGUAGUAGGCUACAAACAUUGUUAUCACUUCCCAUAGGAGAAAGACUAGUGCAGAAUGAGCUAGCAUGAAAGUGUGAGAACCAGCCCUUGGUCUCAGGUUUUCAAUGAGAAACAAUACAGGUAGGCUUAAAACCUGAUCUCAACAUUAUAAGAUAUGUAAUCUAUUCAUCUGUUUAUUCACGGACUGCAUUGUGUCUGUUACACAUUCUUUGGCUGUGGCCAGGGGCUCGGCAGAUGGUGGGGGAGACGUGAUGAGUGAGAAGCAAUCAGAGCCUUUAUUCAGCUAACUGGCCUUGAAUGUUUCCAGCCACCGGUUCUUCUGGGCUCUCAGAGUGGCCGUGCAUUUUAAGUCAGCUCCCCUUGACCUUCUUAUUAAAUGCUAACUUGAAUAUACUGGUUUUAUUUCUGCCACGCGAAAAGCCACAGGAAAAUUGCAGUUCUUUUCUAUAUUAUGCCCUAAAAAGCACCGCUUGGCAUUCCAGUUUGUCUUUAAAAUCUUAGCUUAAAUUUCUUCCUCUGUGAGACUCUGGAGAGUGAUUUCUUUUCCUGUGUUGGUAUAAGCUUGCACUCCUGAAAUUGUGUGUUAGGACAUCCAGAGGAAAUAUUAAACAGAGACUAGUAUGCAAUAUGCCUCCUUAGAAAAUCCUCAGGCAGUUGAGUCACAGGGUAAGACUCUUUAAUGACUGCCAUGCCUAGUGUUUAUGUCAGAUUGACACAAACUAAAGUCACCUGGGACAAGGGAAAUUCAGCUGAGAAAAUGCCUCUAUAAGGAUGACUUGUAGACAAGCCUGUAGAACAUUUUCUUAAUGAUUGAUGUGGGUUGGCCUUGCCCCCUGUGGGUGGUGCCAUACCUACAUAAGUGGGUCACACCUGGAUAGGUGAUCUUGGAUGGUACAAAGAAAGCAAACUGAGCAAGGCAUGAAGUCAGUCUCAUUCCUCCAUGGCUUCUGCUUCAGUUCCUGCCUCAAGGUUCCUGCCUCGAGUCCCUGACCUGACUUUCCUUACUGACUGAUGGCAAUAUGGAAAUGUAAGAGGAGAUAAACCCUUUCUUCUCUGAGAUGGUUUCUUGGUCACAGAAUUGUAUGACAUCAUUACAAACCCUAAAUAGAGUCUAGAGAUUAGAGACUUGUCUUUAUUGAGCAUUUACCUUGUGUUUAUAUGUUUCACUGUUUAGUUAUAAUAUUUAUGUAUUGUUGGUAUUGUGUAAAUACUAUUACCAUUCAUACAAUUUAUAUAAUUAUUUUAUUAUUAAGUAAAUAUAAGUGUGAAUAUAUAUGUAUACACACAUACAUAUAUAUGUAUAUAAUGUAUACCUAUCUGUAUCAUCCACCAUAUUGGAAUGUUUGGUCCUCUUUUGUUGUUCUUCAGUUCUUAUCUCUGUAUAGGGCACAACACAGGAUCUUUAUAAAUAACUGUCUAAUAAGUAAGAAGAAAUAAAUGGAAUGAAAUUGCUAUUGUCAGAGACAAGUUUAAUGUUUUGUACUAUUCUGAAAGAUAGGACAUUUAGUCCAUGCUUUCAGGGAAGUUUUAGGGCCAGUGGAUUCUUCUAGUGCACACACAAACUCUCUCUCUGUCUCUCUCUGUCUCUCUCCCUCUGUCUCUCUCUGUCUCUAUCUCUGUCUCUCUGUCUCUCUCUGUCACACACACACACACAGACACACACACACACAUUUGUUUAGCAAUUUUCUCCAAGGAGCCUCUCUCUUAGAGAGAAGUUUGUCAAGACCCGGGAUGCUAAGAGUAGUGGAAACAAAAUCCAGCAGGAAGCUCACUUGGCUCAGGAAGUAAACAACUUGAAUGGUUUAGGUCGGACUCUGAAACUGAUCAGCUACAUUAGGCCCCACCUUGCCCAAGCCUGUGUAAGAUAUAGGACUGCUAAGAAACACUCUGAGCUAAGAGACAACUGGGCCACCCAGAAUGAGUAGAGACAACCUGAUCUGCCCAGAAAACCCUCAGACCAGACCAGCUCCCUGGAAGAGACCAGUAGAGUUGCCUGGAAGAGCUUAGACCAACUGAUCAAUGUGGAAAGGACACUCUCCAACCUGCAGAGCAGCCUGUGGGUUUUCUAGCUUCAUGUGCUGCCAUCAGUGCUGGAGAUGGCUUUGGUGGUGCCGCUGUCAACCAUUCUGCUCUUGUAAGCAACUCUUUCCCUACAGUUCUAUAUGCAACUGCAAUAAAGGUCAGUGAUUCACCAAGUUGUACUCUGAGUAGUAUUCCUCAUUUGGUCUAUCAUUUGUUCCUUAUUUGGGUUAGAAAGACAUUCGUACAUGUCUCAGGAAUGCUGUUAGCACAAUACUUUCUAUGUGUGUAUGUGUAGGGGAUCCUUGUCUAGUCUGCCUAAAGCUUCCUUAUCCUAAUUGAGGAAAUGAAAGCCACCCAAAAUCUGCCACCUCCUUUUUCUGAGUAGAAGGUGCAGGAGAUUGGUCCACUGACUCAACCAGAAGGUCCUUCUUAGACCCUUGCCUAGCACCUGUUGCUCCUCACAUCAACAAGGAUUCACCAAAUCAUCCAAACAAAACAAAACAAACAAACGAAAAAACCCAGUGCAUUCACCAAAGCAAAGUCAGUGAAGUAACAGGGAGAUCUCUAACUCCUGAGACUCAUUUUAAAUGGUUUUAGACAGUAAUACCGAAUAGUGUUGUAUUCCUGGAGCCUUAAGUAGCUACUUAGUAUUCAGGCUUCAUACAACCAGUGAGAGUUCCCAACAGAGAAGAGAAUUAACUGUUUGGUGUGUUUUAAUAACUGAGUGAGCAAAGAUCACGUGAAUCGAUUAUCAAUUUGGCUAACUUUCUUGUGGGGCUUGUGUGGAAGAAUUAAAUGCAAACAGACUGUGUGUUUACCAAGGAGGAAUGCACCUUGAGGUGAAUAUUAGCAUUCUCAAAUGUGACUCUUGUAACACACCGGAUUCUUUGCCCACUCUCUCCUUGUUAUGUCACCACUAUAAAUUGGAAACAGAGAUAGAAUCGCUGAAAAAAAUAUGAUCAGAUACAGUGCCAACACAUUGAGAACCUACUACUUUAAGCAGGUUUGUGACAUGUUUUUGACCUUGAGACUGACAGCAUCCUUCUAUUAAUCCGUAGGCCACCAGCAAAGCCUCUAGCUUCAAGGAGACUUCAAGAUGACACUAAGUUUGUUCUAAUGCUGGACCGUUAUGCCUGGGUAGCUUCAUUUAUUCCAUGACUGUUGGUUGAUUUUUGUCAAUGUGACACAGACCUAGUCACAUUGAGAAGAGGGAUUCUUAACUGAGAAAAUGCUCCCAUGCCACAAGCUUGUAGGAAAGUCCAUUGAACAUUUUCUGAAUUAGUGAUUGAUGUGGGUGGGCCCAGUCCACUGAGUAGUUCUGCUGGGGGCUGGUGUUCUUGGGUGUUAUGAGAAAGCAAGCUGAUCAAGCCAUGAGGACCAAUCAAAUAAGCAACAUUCCUUCAUGGCUUCUGCAUCAGCGACUGCCUCUUGGUUCUUGCUUUUAGUCCCCUGAUAAUGGACUACAGAAUAUAAGCUGAAAUACACUUUUUCAUUCCUAAGUAGCUUUCGUUAUAGUGUUUUUUUAUCAGCAAUAGAAGCCCUAACUAACACAUCAUAUACUCAGAGAAGAGUAAAAUGUACAUGGUACCCAGCAAUAGCUGUUCUGUUUUAAAUAUUUAUAUCAGCAUAUAUUUAUUGUACAAAGUGAUGGCUUCAUAAUUAUGUGCUAAUUCAAGAAUACCAUGUGUUUUCAGGAUAAUCUUUCCCAUUGCCCUCUCCUGUCCUUUCAACCUCCUGCUAGUUGUUUCCUUCUUCCUGUUACCUUUCUUCUACUUUCAAUUCCUAGUCCUCAUUCUCAAUGAGUAAUUGUUCCUCUUUCAUCCCAUUUUAAUAAAAUAUUUUAUUCUCUAUGAGUUUUGAAAUGCACACAAUAUACUUUGAUUGCAUCGAUCCCCAGUUGUCUCUUUAACUUCUCCUAGAUACACCACUCCCCUAACCUUCCUCUUUCCAGUUUGGUCUCUUUCUUAAUAAAACAGAGAGUCUUACUUCUGUUAUCCAUAUGCUCCUGGGCAUUAGCCCUCCCAUCCCCCACUAGGGCUCAGUUGAUCCACCAGAGGUUAUAUCCGUAACAAAGACCGAAUCUGCCUUCUUAGCAGUCAUCAUCUGUCAAAAGCUCUUCAGUGCAGGUCAGGGUGGAGUUUCAUGAGCCUUUCCCUCUUCCAUUCAAGAACUGUUCCUUAGAGUUUUAAAACUAUUGCACUUCCCCCCCCCCCCGUAAGGCAAGGGACACUGUCAUUAGGACAAAAUGGCAACCAACAGGUUUGGAAAAGAUCCUUAUGAAUCCUACAUCCAAUAGAGGGCAAAUAUCCAAUAUAACUCAAGAAGUUAGACUCCAGAGAGCCAAAUAACCCUAUUAAAAAUGGGGUACAGAGCUAAACAAAUAAUUCUCAACUAAGGAACAUUGAAUGGCUGAGAAGCACCUACAGAAAUGUUCACCAUCCUUAGUCCUCAGGGAAAUGAAAAUCAAAACGACUCUGAGAUUCCGUCUCUCACCAGUCAGAAUGGCUAAGAUCAAAAACUUAGGUGACAACAGAUGCUGGUGAUGAUGUAGAGAAAGAGGAACACUCCUCCAUUGUUGGUGGGAUUGCAAACUGGUACAACAAGUCUGGAAAUCAGUCUGGAGGUUCCUCAGAAAAUUGGACAUAGUACUACCUGAGGACCUAGCUAUACCACUCCUAGGCAUAUACCCAAAAGAUGCUCCAACACAGAACAAGGACACAUGCUCCACUAUGUUCAUAGCAGCCUUAUUUAUAAUAGCCAGAAGCUGGAAAGGACCCAGAUGUCCCUUAACAGAGGAAUGAAUACGGAAAAUGUGGUACAUUUACACAAUGGAGUACUACUCAGCUAUUAAAAACAACAACUUCUUGAAAUUCAUAGACAAAUAGAUAGAACUAGAAAAUAUCAUCUUGAGUGAGGUAACCCAAUAACAAAAACAUACACAUGGUUUGCACUCACUGAUAAGUGGAUAUUAGCCCAAAUGCUCGGAUUACCCAAGAUACAAUCCACAGACCACAUGAAGCUCUACAAGAAGUAUGGCUAAAAUGUGAAUGCUUUAGUUCUUCUUAGAAGGGGGAACAAAAAUGCUCACAGGAUGAAAUAUGGAGACAAAGUAUGGAGCAGAGACUGAGGAGAGGCCAUCCAGAGACUGCCCUACCUGGGGAUCCAUUCUAUAUACAGCUACCAAAUCCAGACACUAUUGUGGAUGCCAGAAGUACAUGCUGAUAUGGCUGUCUCCUGAGAGGCUCUGCCAGAGCCUGAGAAAUAUAGAGUGGAUGCUCGUAGCCAACCAUUGUAUUUAAUACAGCGUCCCCAAGAGAAAGGACUCUGAAGAGAAAAGAGCUGAAGGGGUUUGCAAUCCCUUAAGAAGAACAACAAUAUCAACCAAGCAGACCCUGCAGAGCUUCCAGGGACUAAAUCACCAUCCUGAGAGGACACAGGGAUGGACCUAUGGCUCCAGGAGCAUAUGUAGUAGAGGAUGGCCUUGUAGGGCAUCAGUGGAAGGAGAGGCACUUGACUCAAUCAAGGUUAGAUGCCCCAGUGUAGGGUAAUGUCAGAGCGGGGAGGUGGGAGGGAGAGGGUGUAUGAGUGGAGGAGUACCCUCAUAGAAGCAGGAGGAGAUGGCGGGUUUCUGGAGGGGAAACUGGGAAAAGGGGUAACACUGAAAUGUAAGUUAAAAAAUAUCCACUAAAAGAAAAAAAAAUGCCCCCCCCAAAGAAUAGAAUGAACUUGUUAGAAACCAGAUGUGUAUAUUCCCUCUUCCACACACAGUCAAACAUAAAAUAAAUCUUAAAAAUUGAUUCUCUCUCUCUCUCUCUCUCUCUCUCUCUCUCUCUCUCUCUCACACACACACACACACACACAUGCCUAUAAUUGUACAGCACUGAGCAUUACUUUGGGAUUGAUCUGACGGGGGGGGGUGACAAGGAAAUGGAGAAAGAAUAGACACACAGACACAGACACAUGUACAGCAAAGAUGCGAUUGUGUGGGGUGUUCUUGUUCAGAUGCAGAUGCCUCAGUUUCAUAACCAGGAAACUCAGUGUGUUUACUUUGUACAUCUGAACCAAGGAGGCUGGGUUAUUGUUUACAAAUGAAUAAGGAGGCAUGUUAGGAGAUCUCUGGCUAACUCCAGUCUUUGGCAGUUGUUAUCCUGAAGGAGAGAGAGUUGUGGCUGAUGAUAUUUGUACGCAAUGGUUAGCUAUUAUGUAAAUAACCAUGCUUGGAUCAGAGGAAGCUUGGCCAUGCCUCUGAGCCAGUGGAGGGUUUUGUCACUUUCAUGAGUCUGAGGAAUUUUUUUCUUCAGCGUGACUGCGCCUAUUUCAAUAACACAUUCAUUAUGAACUUCAUCUGCUCUGCACGCAUUCACUUUGGACUUCAUCCACUACCCCUCCCCCUACCCCAUGCCCCCCCCCCGCAUUGAGACAUGGAGUUCCGUGUCACGUGCUGGCAGUGAAC